rnacentral:rRNA from 1 species
GCUCCAAUAGCGUAUAUUAAAGUUGUUGCAGUUAAAAAGCUCGUAGUUGGAUUUCUGAAGGCGCGACAAUGUCCGCUGAUUGCGUGUGCAGCGUUGCUCUUUCAUCCUUCUGUUAACGUUUCUUGGUAUUCAUUUACUGGUUUCGGGCUCAGAUAUUUUACCUUGAGAAAAUUAGAGUGUUUCAGGCAGGCUUGUGCUGG